UACGUAGGUGGCAAGCGUUGUCCGGAAUUAUUGGGCGUAAAGAGCUCGUAGGCGGUUUGUUGCGUCUAUCGUGAAAACCUGCAGCUUAACUGUGGGCUUGCGGUGGAUACGGGCAGACUUGAGUUCGGUAGGGGAGACUGGAAUUCCUGGUGUAGCGGUGAAAUGCGCAGAUAUCAGGAGGAACACCGGUGGCGAAGGCGGGUCUCUGGGCCGAUACUGACGCUGAGGAGCGAAAGCGUGGGGAGCGAACAGG
rnacentral:rRNA from 1 species